AGGCUGGAGGCGCGCCGGCGUGAUUCUGACCGCGGGAGCCGGGAGGAGGAGCCGGAGGUGGCUGCGGGGGGCUCCGGCCCAGUCGAAGGAAGGGCAAGAAGCGGUUCGGGCCGGGGGUGGCGCCGGGAGGUGGCCUUGGCCCCCGGGGCUGGAGAAAGGGCUUAGGCGUAGCGGACAUUCCCCUUUUCUGACAUUAAAGCUACGAGUCAUCAAGCUGACCCCCUCUCAUCCCUUGGCCUGAAGAAGAGGGUGUCUCAGGGCCCAGGGAUAAGCGGGAAUGGACCGGAGGGAGCCACAAGUCUGCACCCAGGCGGGGAGGAGGCGGGCAGGAGCGGCUCCGCAGGCGCAGGCGAGUGGGUGGGAAGGAGGGAGGGAGAGAGGGGAGAGGGAGGAAGGAGGUGAGGCCGGGAAGAUGCCUCUGCCGGGGGCGGGGCGGGGCCGGGGAUCCGGGAGAGGGACUGCAGCGGUGCUUGGUGGGGGCGGGGGCUGCAAUGUCACUCAUGUGGGAGUCAGGUGUGUAAGUCCCAGGCUCGGGCCGCCGCUUGCCUACAUCUUCCCGGUACUACCCAGGGCUCAGGGGUGGAGGCGGACGGCAGGGGACUGCAGAACCGUCCCCAGAGCGGGACGCGAACCGGCAGACUUGGAAGAAGAGCCUCCGCGUCCGGGAGCUGAGCAUGCUGCCCCCGCGUGCAGAGCCCGCGUGCACCCAGCCCGGAGAGGGGGCGACAGGGCGGAGGCGGUGGCCCCCGGAAGGUGUCUGGGACCGG